AAACCAGCACCUCAAGUGGUCAGGAGGAUUAUUGGGCCUAAAGCAUCCGUAGCCUGUUCUAUAAGUUUCCGGUUAAAUCCACUAGCUCAACUAGUGGGCUGCCGGGAAUACUGCAAAACUAGGGAGUGGGAGAGGUAGACGGUACUCGGUAGGAAGGGGUAAAAUCCUUUGAUCUAUUGAUGACCACCUGUGGCGAAGGCGGUCUUCCAGAACACGUUCGACGGUGAGGGAUGAAAGCUGGGGGAGCAAACCGGAUUAGAAACCCGGGUAGUCC
rnacentral:rRNA from 1 species